ACACUGCCCCCCACAGGCCAUCAGGAGUAUUACUCUGCUCCACACUGCCCCCACAGGCCAUCAGGAGUAUUACUCUGCUCCACACGGCCC